UUCUUGAAUAUCGUGUUGCAUAAAAGAGUCAAAAGAAUUCCAACCAAAAGAACGAGUUAGCUCGGUCGUGCUAACGGGUUCACGCUGCUUUUCGAGGUUAUAAAACACUCUUUGUAAAGCGUAGGCUACACUAUCCCUUGAAUCAUCAUUAUCGGUAGGAAUUUUGUAGACUGUUUUACGGAAAAUAUUAGUAAAGAAAAGAGAUUGAAGUAGCGAGUUCAUAUAACACGUUGCACCUUGGUUUUUCAAACCAACGUAGCCCGUUUCUUUCUUAGAGUUAUAGUUUACGAAUGAAUGCCAAAGGACGCCUGUAGGGUCUUGAAGAACGCGAACGGUCACAGAUAUACAAAUUUCAUCGUUUUCGAGAAAAGGAACGGGAAACUCAGGGGUUGGAACAGCAAUCUUACGAAGAUCAACAAAUCUAGUAAAUCCCCAAUCUUUAACCUCGGAACGGAAACGAUGGUGCGAUGUGUUAAUUUGCAUAACAGUUGGAUCCUGAACAUUCGAUAAAGAUAAGGCAAACUGAGCACAGCAAGAAUAAGUCUCAUCGUUCACAAUCUCAGGAUCAAUAGUCGGAGUUUUACCUGCAGCUAAUUCUGCCU